ensembl:lncRNA
GUUGGCAGAUUAUGCUGCCGUAGAUGUCUGUGAAACCUGCUCAUUGACACGUUAUGGGGAAGAGGAAUGUACAUUUUCUGGAGCAGCAGCUGUACGUGGAGCGAUCCGGUAAAAGUUUCCAGUUUGUUAUCUGGUGUAUCACAAAGGACCUCAAUCUAAACAAGUCCCAUCUGAAUGUUCAUCUUGCACACAUGCCUGCUUCCCCUCCCCCACACCCGCCUGACCUUUAACCCUGAUGACAACAUGCUGUCAUCACCAUCACUCCCGCCCUGGAUAAAUACUAGGUUCAUGGUAUGCUCCACCACAAGAAAAGAACGCUGGGCACAUGAAGGGGACAACACAAAAGAGACUUGUCUUCUCCAAGACAUCUUCAUGAGCUAACCACAGACAAAAAAAGCAAACACGUCGAGCCUCUCAGCACCAGCUAAGGGACAUACAGUCCACCAAGCCACGGAGGUGCUUUCCUCAAUGUGUUCUGAACACUUACAUCUCCAGUAGUGGCUUCAUAAGAGGCUGUUAGCAUGAACAAUAUGUACAUUCAAAAGGCUUCCACACGCGCGCGCACACACACACACACACACACAGACACA